UCACUCUGGGCAUCGGUGCCCUCUCUGGGG
rnacentral:piRNA from 1 species